rnacentral:misc_RNA from 1 species
AACGCACCUUGCGCUCUUUGGUAUUCCGAAGAGCAUGCCUGUUUGAGUGUCAUGAAAAUAUCAACCUUGACUUGGGUUUUGUGCUCUAGUCUUGGCUUGGAAUUGGGUGCUUGCCGCUUUUACGAGCGGCUCACCUUAAAUGUAUUAGCUGGAUCUGUCUUUGAGACUUGGUUUGACUUGGCGUAAUAAGUAUUUCGCUAAGGACAUUCUUCGGAGUGGCCUCGUUUCUAGGACGCUUGUCCGCUUCCCAAUACAAGUUCCACCUCGUGGACAUGACUUUUUUAUUAUCUGGCCUCAAAUCAGGUAGGACUACCCGCUGAACUUAA